rnacentral:rRNA from 1 species
UAACAAGGAUUCCCCUAGUAACUGCGAGUGAAGCGGGAUGAGCUCAAAUUUAAAAUCUGACGGUUUCGCCGUCCGAGUUGUAAUCUGGAGAAGCGUUUUCCGCGUCGGACCGUGUACAAGUCCCUUGGAACGGGGCGUCAUAGAGGGUGAGAAUCCCGUCCAUGACACGGACUACCUAUGCUUUGUGAUACGCUCUCGAAGAGUCGAGUUGUUUGGGAAUGCAGCUCAAAAUGGGUGGUAAAUUCCAUCUAAAGCUAAAUAUUGGCGAGAGACCGAUUGCGAACAAGUACCGUGAGGGAAAGAUGAAAAGCACUUUGGAAAGAGAGUUAAACAGUACGUGAAAUUGUUGAAAGGGAAACGCUUGGAGUCAGUCGCGUCUGUCGAGACUCAGCCUCGCCUUCGGGCUUGGUGUACUUCUCGGUCGACGGGCCAACAUCGAUUUUGGGUGGCGGAUAAAGGUCUGGGGAAGGUGGCACCUUCGGGUGUGUUAUAGCCCCUCUCCGCAUACGUCGUCUGGGAUCGAGGACCGCAGCGCGCCCUUGUGGCCGGGGCUUUGCCCACGUACCGCGCUUAGGAUGUUGGCGUAAUGGCUUUAAGCGACCCGUCUUGA